rnacentral:rRNA from 1 species
UCCUUGAAAUACCACCCUUUAAUGGCUGGUGUUCUAACGUAGACCCGUGAUCCGGGUUGCGGACAGUGUCUGGUGGGUAGUUUGACUGGGGCGGUCUCCUCCCAAAGAGUAACGGAGGAGCACGAAGGUUAGCUAAUCCUGGUCGGACAUCAGGAGGUUAGUGCAAUGGCAUAAGCUAGCUUGACUGCGAGAGUGACGGCUCGAGCAGGUGCGAAAGCAGGUCAUAGUGAUCCGGUGGUUCUGAAUGGAAGGGCCAUCGCUCAACGGAUAAAAGGUACUCCGGGGAUAACAGGCUGAUACCGCCCAAGAGUUCAUAUCGACGGCGGUGUUUGGCACCUCGAUGUCGGCUCAUCACAUCCUGGGGCUGAAGUAGGUCCCAAGGGUAUGGCUGUUCGCCAUUUAAAGUGGUACGCGAGCUGGGUUUAGAACGUCGUGAGACAGUUCGGUCCCUAUCUGCCGUGGGCGCUGGAGAAUUGAGGGGGGCUGCUCCUAGUACGAGAGGACCGGAGUGGACGCAUCACUGGUGUUCGGGUUGUCAUGCCAAUGGCACUGCCCGGUAGCUAAAUGCGGAAAAGAUAAGUGCUGAAAGCAUCUAAGCACGAAACUUGCCCCGAGAUGAGUUCUCCCUGAGACUUUAAGUCUCCUGAAGGAACGUUAAAGACUAUGACGUUGAUAGGUCGGGUGUGUAAGCGCAGCGAUGCGUUGAGCUAACCGAUACUAAUGAACCGUGAGGCUUAACCUU